rnacentral:rRNA from 1 species
AGAGAGAGACAUGCGCGCAUAUCAAUAAGCGGAGGAAAAGAAACUAACUAGGAUUCCCUCAGUAACGGCGAGUGAAGCGGGAAGAGCUCAAAUUUGAAAUCUUCAAGGUUCUACCUUGACGAAUUGUAGUUUAAAGAAGUGUUUUCUGUUGGAGUUUUGGUAAAAGUUCUUUGGAAUAGGACAUCAUAGAGGGUGAGAAUCCCGUAUUUGACCAUUAUUUCCAGCUUUGUGAUACACUUUCAAAGAGUCGGAUUGUUUGGGAAUGCAGUCCAAAAUGGGUGGUAAAUUUCAUCUAAAGCUAAAUAUUGGCGAGAGACCGAUAGCGAACAAGUACCGUGAGGGAGAGAUGAAAAGAACUUUGAAAAGAGAGUUAAACAGUACGUGAAAUUGUCAAAAGGGAAGCGUUUGACACCAGUGUUGUUUUCUCGAAAAUCAAUUAAAAAAGGCAGGAUUUUGUGUUGUAUUGACUUUAUCAGCUUUCUGCACUCUUUUCUUGUCUUUUUUAAUGCACUUUUCGUUUAACAAGUCAACAUCAAUUUCUUUUGUUGUAAAAGGGUCAUUGGAAGGUGGCUUUCUUUUCGGAGAAAGUGUUUAUAGCCUUUGGCCUCUGCAAUCGGAGAGAUUGAGGUCUGCAGGCGUAGAUCCUUCGGGGUUAGAUACAUUUGUGCUAAGUUAUAGCCUUUCAUAGACAACUUGUUGACUAUGAUCAGUCAUGUAGCUUACUCGCUUAUGCUAUUUUACCUACGCUUAGGAUGUUGAUGUGAUACUGCGAGCA